rnacentral:rRNA from 1 species
CCCUUAGAUGUUCUGGGCCGCACGCGCGCUACACUGAUGCAUUCAACGAGUCUAAAACCUGCUCUGAUAGGGGUGGGUAAUCUUUUGAAUGUGCAUCGUGAUUGGGAUAGAUGAUUGCAAUUUUUCAUCUUCAACGAGGAAUGCCUAGUAAACGCAAGUCAUCAGCUUGCAUUGAUUACGUCCCUGCCCUUUGUACACACCGCCCGUCGCUCCUACCGAUUGAAUGAUCCGAUGAAUAUCAUGGAUUGAGGAUGCAAGCAGGUCCGCCUGUCUUCAUCUUCGAGAAGUGAAGUAAAUCUUAUCAUUUAGAGGAAGGAGAAGUCGUAACA